UGCCCUGAUAUGGGAAUCGAACCCACAGUGUUCCGCUUACCAGGCAGAUGCCAUGUCCACUAGGCUAGGC